ensembl:lncRNA
GGAAGAGUCAAUCAAUGUAGCAGACUUCAUUGUGGUCCUAUUUUAAGACUUUGCCACAGCCACCUCAGCCUUCAGCAACCACCUCUCCGAAAGGUCAGCAGCCACCAACAUUGAGCUGUUUUGAAUAAUGCUGCUAUGAAAAUGGAUACAAAACAUCUCUUUGAGACCCUGCUUGCGAUUCUUCUGCGUUCAUAACCAGAAAUGAAAUUGCUGGAUCACAUGAAAACAAGAGAAUUUUAGUUUGUUCUCAAAGAAUGCCAGAUGAAAAAAAUAAAAAAGAAGAAGAAAGCCUUAAGCUCAUAAGCACAUAAUCAGAUCUUCCUGCCUUUCAUGCGGACCGUUGUUUGGUAAAUUCUGCUUUAUGUUCCAAAAGAACAAAGUGGCAAUGUUCUCACACAAUUCUAGUUUUGCAACAAAGUCUGGUGAAAUGUCAUGUUCUCAGUAUUCAAUAUGUGGGUUUUUAAGGGCAGUCUCCUUGCCUUAAUGUCAAAAGCAAGUGGUAAAACAAAGGAAUGUGCUGAAGCCAGCCUAUUUACUGCAUACCUGACACCUUUGUGGUUGACCUUAUUACUUAAUUCAUGAAAAAAAUUGCAAGCUUGGCUUUUGGGUCAUUUCUGAGUGCCUUGUGGUUUCUUCUGCUGCUUAGGAACUUCGUAUUCUGUUUUUCACUUGUUUGUUUUCCUUUUCAGUGAAAAUGAGUUGGUAACUUGAAUAGUACCUAUGCUUCAGUUAUGUAAAGAAGAAAGAGAGAUGACUUCUUAAACUUCUGAAUCGUAUCAGUGUGUUCUUGGGUGAAGAUCUCUGAGGCCGCAUAGAAAAGAAAUGUAGUUUUGAACAUAGAAUUUCUUUUCCUUUGAUCACUUCAUUCCAUAAGUAACAAGAAACCCAUGAAACAUAAAAUUCUAAGAACUAACUCAACAUUUAAAAAUCAAACUGUAAAUUAGAAACUGGAUAUUAG